UCGGAAGGCAGCGGGGGGAAUAUUGCACAAUGGGCGCAAGCCUGAUGCAGCCAUGCCGCGUGUAUGAAGAAGGCCUUCGGGUUGUAAAGUACUUUCAGUCGUGAGGAAGGUGUUAAGGUUAAUAACCUUAGCAAUUGACGUUAGCGACAGAAGAAGCACCGGCUAACUCCGUGCCAGCAGCCGCGGUAAUACGGAGGGUGCGAGCGUUAAUCGGAAUUACUGGGCGUAAAGGGCACGCAGGCGGUUAAUUAAGUUGGAUGUGAAAUCCCCGGGCUUAACCUGGGAAUGGCAUUCAAGACUGGUUAGCUAGAGUCUUGUAGAGGGGGUAGAAUUCCAUGUGUAGCGGUGAAAUGCGUAGAGAUGUGGAGGAAUACCGGUGGCGAAGGCGGCCCCUGGACAAAGACUGACGCUCAUGUGCGAAAGCGUGGGGAGCGAAACAGGGAUUAGAUACC
rnacentral:rRNA from 1 species